rnacentral:rRNA from 1 species
GUGACCUCAAAUCAGGUAGGACUACCCGCUGAACUUAAGCAUAUCAAUAAGCGGAGGAAAAGAAACUAACAAGGAUUCCCCUAGUAACUGCGAGUGAAGCGGGAAAAGCUCAAAUUUAAAAUCUGGCGGUCUUUUGGCUGUCCGAGUUGUAAUCUAGAGAAGUGUUAUCCGCGCUGGACCGUGUACAAGUCUCCUGGAAUGGAGCAUCAUAGAGGGUGAGAAUCCCGUCUUUGACAUGGACUGCCAGGGCUUUUGUGAUGCGCUCUCAAAG